CAGCAGCCGCGGUAAUACGAGGGGGGCAAGCGUUGUUCGGAAUUAUUGGGCGUAAAGGGUGCGUAGGCGGUCUGAUAAGUCAUCUGUGAAAUCUAUGGGCUCAACCCAUAGUCUGCAGGCGAAACUGUCGGGCUUGAGUAUGGGAGAGGUGAGUGGAAUUUCCGGUGUAGCGGUGAAAUGCGUAGAUAUCGGAAGGAACACCUGUGGCGAAAGCGGCUCACUGGACCAUUACUGACGCUGAGGCACGAAAGCUAGGGGAGCAAACAGGAUUAGAUACCCCUGUAGUCCCUGUCUCUUAUAC
rnacentral:rRNA from 1 species